ACUGCAAAAAUAUAACAUGUAAUUUCAGAACAGAUUAUGAUAGAAUAGUCAUUUCAAAAAAAGAUUAAAGAUUAAGACCCUACUAUGCUUGUAUUUUGAAAAUCCAAGGAAAAUGUUGAGCUGCUAUUGAGGUGAAUGAUGUGUAUCAAAAAGGUGUAUCUAAAUCAGAAACUCAGCAUCUUAAAGAUAUUAUAAAUGGUAUGCGGUUAUUAAAACCAUUGAAGUACCUCCUCAUGCCUUUCACAUUCUGAGUUAAACUAAAAAUAAUAAAAGAGUAAGUUCACUGGGCGUAAUAGAGUAUUGCAUAGUUUGACAUCUGUCCAUUUAAAAGUUGAAAAUUCUUUUUUUGAAUUGGUAAUUUUAGUAAAUUGAGAUAAAACUUUCAAUCUCCUCUUCCCAGGCAGGGCUUACUGAAUGAGAAUGGAAUCUUUGUGAACCAAAGAGCAUAUUUUUAUUUAUUUUGAGAGAGAGAGAGUAUGUGUGAGCACAUGCAGGAGGGACAAAGGGAGAGAGAAUCUUAAGGAGGCUCCACACCCAGCCUGGAGCCCAGUGCGGCGCUCCUAUCUCAGGACUGCGAGAUCAUGAUUUAAGCUGAAAUCAAGAGUUAAUCGCUUAACCAACUGAGCCACCCAGGCUCCCAAAGGGCACAUUUUAUAAAGGAAGCAAAUAUUCUCAUUCAAAAUGAAAAACCUAAGUAAGGAGAGUUGAUUGAUUAUGAACAAGUAGACUUAUUCAUCCUAAGCUCAUUUACUGCACACGUAGUUCCAUUUUCAUGGAUUGGAACCAAAUGGUGCCCUACAGGUUAUCAGUCUCUACCACUCAAGUGAUGUUUGAAUAUUCCCAGAAAUAUUCCUGCCAGCUGGUUAAUCUAAACAGUGUAAAAGUAGGAAGGGAGUUCUCUUAAGUCAUACCUGAGUCCAUUGCAUCUUUGGUUAAUCCUCAUAAUUGACAAAAUAUGAUUCCCUACAAUUAAUCACCUAUUAGUCUUUAGGUUUUUCACUGGGUCAAACAGAAGAAGCUGAAUCUUUCAGGUGAUUCAGCUCUUUCAGCUCUCACACCCUCCUGCCCUCCAGAUUUUCUAUUUGCAUUAAGUAAUUCCAACUUGUCCAUGCUGCAUUUAAUGUCAGCCAGUUUCAGCAAACAGUUGUGGUUUCAGUAAAGCGUCUUAUGCAGAUAUAUUUCCUUGAUUCCUUCAUAUUAAUUCUAAAGAGACUUGGAGAAUUGUUCUCUGCCUACGAAACACUGCUUUUACAGUGCAACCGUCUGUUGUGUUUUCCAACUGCAUGUCUCAGUUCUCUUGCAGAAACAGUAACUCAAGAACACUUGGAUCCUGGGAACUGAAGGUAUGGUAUAACCAGGGGAUCAGAUAGAAAUAUUUAGUUAACAUAUGAAAUUGCAGUUCAUUCAUUAUACUGACCUUGUUUUCACUAUAUUUAAGGUAGAAAAGACUUGUCCUCAGUAGAAUAUGGAGGACCCAUUAUACUUUGAGAAAGUUACCAGGCCCUAUGAAAAUCCAUUUGAGUGUUUAUCACAGGAGAAGGGAAUCCUAUGACUGUUUCGUAUGAAUUGCAGCCAAUAUCAGAUGUCAAGGUCCACGUGAGCUGGUUAACCUGCCAGCUGAGUAAGGCUGCAGCCACUACAGCACCCUGGAGACUGCCUUUCUGACAAUAGUGCUGCAGAAGUGGUGGAAGGAAGGCACCAGGAGACUGUUUUAGCAAUAUCAUUUGUAUUUGAAAUACAGAAAUCAGGAACUGUGUGAAAAAACGAGUACUGUUUUCUUUAGAAAUUGGGAAAUUAUUGAGCACUAAAGGGUAACCACAGUACUUACAGAUACUCCUAUGAAUCUAUACUCUUACUUUCCUGCUUCUACUCCAUUUCUGAUUUUGUAGGUAAAUGCUGUUGCUGCUAACUGAUUUUCUUGCUUCCAUAUUACCAUUUUUCAGCGUUAGUAAUACACAGGUGGUAGCAUUCAUUAGCACAGAGUUCUUAAAGGGUUUUUGUGUUGGUUCUGUUAUUUUUUGUUUGUUUAAUGCUAAAAGAAGAAUUAAAGUAAUCUAAAGUCAUCGAAUUAAAAUCACACUUAUUUAGUGGAAGAUCUGCUGUAUAAAAAUACAUCAUUUAAUUUUUUCCGUUCAUCCUUGGUAAAGUCUGUUAUAUCAGGUUUUGGCACUAGAAAAUAGUUUUUACAUUCUUAAAUUAUUGAUCCUUUGGCACAAGAGACUUCCUUCCUCUUCUACAUUAGUACAUUAGUAACUUAAGAAUGUGACAUUUGGGGGACAGUAGAGAAGAUUACGAUUUGUUACUUGUAGGACUGACUUUAGGAAGAAUCUGAAGUAGUUGCUGAAAACUGGAACUGGCUGACCUGCACUGGCAAUGUCAGAAAUGGGCCAACAAUGGCAAGAAAAGAACAUACUUGGAGAUAUAGUACCCAUCUCUGUUUUACUAUCACAAACUCCUGCUAAGGCCCAUCUACCAUUAAGUAGUGUUUUGGCUUAAUCCUUCCCCCAGAAACUCCUAGCAGGUUUCAUUCCCUUUCACAUUUACCCUGAAUCUUGGAAUCCUAGGCACUGUAAUGCAGUCUCAUCUUUCACCUAGCCGGGUUUUAUUUCACUGCUGUAACUCAAGGAAAGUAUGGGGGGGCCGGGGGGGGGGGGGUGGAAUGAAAGUAGAUUCCCUUUAUGUCAUCCUGAAAGAUUAGCAAUGUACUUCUACUUAGUAACUUUCAGUUACUUGUAAUAUAGGAAUGUACAAUGUCUUCUAGAUUUUUUUUUUAGGUUUAUUUAUUUUGUGAGAGAGCAUGAGUGUGAGCGGGGGGGGGGGGGGGGGGGGGGGGGGGAGGGGCAGAGAGAGAGGGAGAACAAGAAUCCCAAGCAGGUUCCAUGCUGUCAGUGCAGAGCCUGACACGGCUCAAUCCCAUGACCACAAGAUUAUGACCUGAGCUGCAAUCAAGUCGGAUACUCAACCAACUGAGCAACCGGGCGCCUGAUCUUAUUGUUAACUCCAGUUCCCCCAAGAGCAAGUUUCAUACAUUAUACCAACAUCACCUUUCUGGACCUGUUUUCUCAUCUAGGAAAAAAAAAAUAAUAAUAAAGGCAGUAUAAAUACAAACACCUGCAACACUCCUAUCCCAGUUUUCUGCAAAAAUACCUGUGAAACAUUCAAAUAAAAAAGUUAAUGUUAUUCAUAGAAACUUGGGUAAGAGUAGUGGAAACUAGAAGGAAUUUUUACCAAGGAAAGCUAUAAGGGGUGGAAUUUUAAAAAACGGCUGACUCAGAAUCCACAUCAAAACAGCUUGUUGGUAAAGCAAGAUGACACCUUAGCUUCUCAUCAUCUAACGUUGCUUAUUAUCCUAUGUAUAAGAAGGCUGUACUAAUCAUUUGAGACAGCUACUGAAAGCCCCAUUCGGAUUCUUAACUAGUGGCACUAAAGCUGUACUAUCUUGAAGCUUUUCCUUAACCAAGAGAACCACAGCUGUCAUUCACCUAGGGGUGGGGUGAGGGGGUGUAGUCAUAAAAAGGAAGAGUAAUGACAAGGGCAACAAAGGGAUCCAAAAAGAUCUCUUAGCCUCUAUCCAUUAGCAGAUGUAGAAUACUUAGAGCAAGAUUCUUUUAAGAAAGGUGUUCUUUCCAGCCAUCUUUCCUAAGAACUUCGGUCGUAUUUUAAGGAAAUUCCUUACCUUCAUCUACACUAAUCCUAUGUCCGAUGGACUUAGUUGGGUUUUCUGGAGGAAUUAAAUGGGAUUAACGUUUCUGACCACCAGCUGGAUCAGCAUUGGCACCUGAGUGGGCUGAAAAAGACCUGAAAGCAAUCCUCAGAAUUGCAAUCCUUGGAUUCUGAGGAUUCUGCAAUUGGCCUAACUGAAUAUGUCCUCGUUGAGAAAUGAGUAACUAAAAGGACAAGAGAUAUGAGCCAGUGUUUCACAAAGAAGGCCAAGAAGCGAUCACAGUUUUUUUGCGUGUGUUUGUUUUGUUUUGUUUUUUUCUGGCAGAGGAAGGAAGAAUUGGGUAAAUUUCUUAUCUUUUAUAAAGAUAACAUUAAAAUACUCUUUUUCACUUUGACAGGUAAUGUAAAUUUAAGAAUAAAAUUUAAAUCUGUUAAAUGUCCAGCCAUAUUAGUCAUCAAGGAAAUGCACAUUAAAACUCUAGAAAGAUAUCCUUACAACUGUUUAGCAAAAAUUAAGAUAUUGACAAUACCAGUGUUGGUGAGAAUUUGGAACAGCAGGAACUCUCAUAAACUGCCAGUGUUACUGUAAAUUGGUUCAACCACUUUGGAAAUGCUUGACAAAUACCUACUAAUGUUGAAACAUACAGCUACCUGCAACUCAGUAAGUCUACUUCUAAGCAUGUAAGCAACAGAGAUAAGAACAUAUGUAUACAAAAAAAUAGAAGAAUAUUCUUAGCAUUAUUCAUAACCUCAAAGUGGAAACAAUGCAGUGUCAACAGAAUGCAUACAUGAGAUACUACUCUGUAACAAGGACAUGAGCUAAUUUGCUACAUGUAAUAAUUGGGAUGAUUUUUUUUAAAAAAAAUUUUUAACGUAUUCAUUUUUGAGAGACAGAGUGCGAGUGAGGGGAGAGGCAGAGAGAGGGAGACACAGAAUCCGAAGCAGGCUCCAGGCUCUGAGCUGUCAGCACAGAGCCCAAUGCAGGACUGGAACCCACGAACCAUGAGAAUCCUGAUGUGAGCCGUAGUCAGACACUUAACUGGCUGAGCCACCCAGGUGCCCCAAUAAUUUGGAUGAGUCUUAUAAAUAUGAUGUUACUAGAAGAAACAAGCCAACAAAAAAUGUGUAUAUGAUUCCCACUAUAAAACAGUUCAAAAACAAGUAAAAUAUACUUUUAGGCAGAAUGGAGUGGGAAGGGGUCAGAAAGGGGGUUUAUGGUGUGCUGGUAAUGUCUUCACCAGCGUGGCGAUAACUUUGUGAUAACUUUUUGAGCUGUACUUUUAAUGGCUUAUGCAUUUUUAAAAUGUAUCUUCUACUUCAAUUAAAGUUUUUGUUUCUUAAAUGAAUUAAAGCAAGAUCAGCAUGAGGCUAAUGGGGCAGACACUUCUGCAGUAUGAGAGAAGAGCAAUAUCCUGAGGCACUUAGAAUGAAGGGCUUUCUUUGUUUUUCCAGUGCAUGUAUAGCAAGAAAUACUAGAAAAUAUUUGCUUCAGCUCCCACCCUGGUGCAAUAGAGCAUUAUGAUGAUGAGGGUGGAAGAGUAAGAGAGUAAAGAAAGGGAGAAGCCAUAUUAAAAUUUGUGUCAGAAGCGGUAAAUAAGGGGUGCCUGAGGUCUCAGUUGGUUAAGUGUCCAACUCUUGGUUUUGGCUGAGGCCAUCCAUUCAUGAGUUCGAGCCCCACAUCAGGCUCUGUGCUGAUUGCAAAGAGCCUACUAGGGAUUCCCUCUCUCUCUCUCUCUCUCUCUCUCUCUCUCUCUCUCUCUCUCCCCCCUCCCCCUCCCCCUCUCCCUCUCUCCCUCUCUCUCAAAAUAAAUAAGCAUUAAACAUUAAAAACAUUAAAUAAAUAACAUUUUAAAAAGACAGUAAGUAGCCACAGUGCUAAAGAAAAUUUAGCCUUAAAUGAAGACCAGUGAAUAUCCCACUGGUUUUCAGAACCCUGUGGGUUCCCAUGAACCAACAAAGGAAAGAUGGAGGGGGUUCCCCACCACUUGUUUAUCAACCAGAUCAGAGCUGCCUUCAGUGUUCUAUAUUGUGCUUAAUAAGCUUUCCUUUAAGGGAUUCUGCAGCUUAAAGAUGUGACAGUAAACCAAAGCACCAGGGUAAAAAGCCCUUUCAGAUGAGUUCAGUGAGAGAGAAAAAGUACAGAUUUAAAAGGCUGGUUACAAAAAUUUAUCCUUUGAAUAAUAAGUGUUCCCAAAGAAAACAACAAAACAAAUUAGGUAGUAGUUUUAAUAGGAGAAAUCUUGAUCUAAAAAAAAAAGGCUCAAGUCUAAAUGAAGAUCCUGUUUUAUACAUUAAAUGCCAGCUGGAAUGGAGCAGAGUUUUUAGUUCAGGAUUUCUCCAGUCAUCCACAUGUGAAGGUAACAAAAAAACAUCUGUGGUCUGCAAUUCACUACUUACUUGCCCUUUAUAGAAAAAAAUUAUUUGAAUAUAAUCACUACAUUACCAAAAUGAACCAAAAUUAAGAAGAAAAGAAUGAGGGAAGAAAGUUGGUGAGUAUUAAAAUCAGUAAAACUACUAGGAUAAUGCAGAUAAUUAUUUUUAAAAUAUAUUAUUUAUUAAAUGAUUAUUCUCAAAAAAUUUAAGUGGGGUUUAUUAACUCCAGAUUAAGUUAAUGAAGAACCAAGAAGGGAUCACAGUUUCUUUUUUAGGAGGUGAAAUGAGGGGUAAAAUCCAAACUUUUGUGGAAAAACAACAACUUGUUUUUUACUUUGAAAAUAAAAUGUAAGUUUAAUAGUCUUCUGAAAUCUGUUAAGGUGAUUAAUAAUAAAAUUAUUAACAGAAUGUUUCCUGUCCAAAUCCUUGAAAAAGAAAAAAUGGAAUUGCAUAUUUGACAAAAGUCAAAAGAAAAAGAAGAGCACUUAAGACUAAAAGUGUUUAAAUUCUAAAAUCAGAAUGAAAUGAUUUGCUUCUUCCAGAACACUUACCUUUAAAUCAAAUUCUGCCACAUACACCUAACAUGAAAAGUAUUUCAGAGUACAAGAAAGUAUAAGUAGCAUAUUUACUCCUAAAAUUACAAUUAGUAGUGAAGAUGACAAACCAUAGAGUUUAUAUGCAGGAUAAUAUAGGAUUAAAAUGCAGAAAUACAAAAACCUUUAAUGUAGAAAUUGUGGGAGAUCUUAACAUAUGUUCUGUGAACUAUCAUAACAAAUCAAGUAGAAGUGAGAUAUAAACGGGAAAAAAUAAUAAAGCAGAAUUACUACAUAGAAAAAAGAGGAUAUAAUUUUUUUACUCAAAUGGAAUUGUUUACAAAUCGAUCAGAUAGCAACAUUGAAUAACAGGCAGCGUAAGGGACCCAGAAACAUGUCUUAACUUCUGCCCAUCAGCUCAUAAUAUUUACAGCCGGGAUCAUAAAACCAUCAAACUAGUUCUAAAGUGUGUUUAGCCUCUUUGUUCUAAAGACAAAUUGUGAGGAAAUCAUGUACCUUCUAUUCUAAACCUGGACCCUCUGGGCCUCCUUCAUUCCUGGAGGAAUGAAAUGGAUGAGCAUUUGGUGCCCAUCUGCUGGGCAUUACGUCAGCAUCUGAGCGGACUGUAAAAGCUGAAAGCAAUCCUUGCAGCCUGAUAAUUCCCUUGAAGUUCAUUUUAUAGGGCAGAAAUUCUACAGGCUCUGUUCUUUGAUCACAAAGUAAUAAAACCAGAGAAUAAAAAGCACAAUCACUUGGAAAGUGAUUUUAAAGGCCUCUUCUAGUUAUUUUCUCAAGAAAAAAUGCAAUAAAAGAAGAGCGAAACAAUGGGGAAAAGGGUGGGGGGGGUAUGUUUAAAGCUAUGCUAAAGGGCAUAUUAAUAGCCAUUGUUGCAUAGAGAGGGAAAAUGGGUGAGUAAAACAUAACACUAGAAAAAGUAACAAUAAAGAUAAGAUUAAUUAGAAAUAAAUUAGAAAAGGGGCACCUGGGUGGCUCAGUCAAUUGAGCGUCUGACUUCAGCUCAGGUCAUGAUUUCGUGGUUCAUGGGUUCGAGCCUCACAUCUGGCUCACUGCUGUCAGAACUGAGCCUGCUUCAGAUCCUCUGUUCCCGUGCCCCUCCCCUGCUUGCACUCUCAAAAUUAAAUAAACAUUAAAAAAAGAAAAUUAGAAA